GAAUCACUUGAACCCAGGAGGUGGAGGCUGCAGUGAGCCAAGAUCGUGCCACUGCACUCCAGCCUGGGCUACAAGAGC
rnacentral:miRNA from 1 species